rnacentral:rRNA from 1 species
AUUGAACGCUGGCGGCAGGCCUAACAGAUGCAAGUCGAGCGAGCGGCGGACGGGUGAGUAAUGUCUGGGAAACUGCCUGAUGGAGGGGGAUAACUACUGGAAACGGUAGCUAAUACCGCAUACCCUCAGAUGUGCCCAGCGGGGAUUAGCUAGUAGGUGGGGUAAUGGCUCACCUAGGCGACGAUCCCUAGCUGGUCUGAGAGGAUGACCAGCCACACUGGAACUGAGACACGGUCCAGACUCCGACGGGAGGCAGCAGUGGGGAAUAGUGCACAAUGGGCGCAAGCCUGAUGCAGGCAUGCCGCGUGUGUGAAGAGGGCCUGCGGGUUGUAAAGCACUUUCAGCGGGGAGGCGUUACCCGCAGAAGAAGCACCGGCUAACUCCGUGCCAGCCGCCGCGGUAAUUC